rnacentral:rRNA from 1 species
UGGGGAAUCUUCCGCAAUGGACGAAAGUCUGACGGAGCAACGCCGCGUGAGUGAAGACGGCCUUCGGGUUGUAAAGCUCUGUGAUCCGGGACGAAAGAGCCUGAGGUGAAUAGCCUAAGGAAGUGACGGUACCGGAAAAGCAAGCCACGGCUAACUACGUGCCAGCAGCCGCGGUAAUACGUAGGUGGCAAGCGUUGUCCGGAAUUAUUGGGCGUAAAGCGCGCGCAGGCGGCUUCCUAAGUCCAUCUUAAAAGUGCGGGGCUUAACCCCGUGAUGUGAAGGAAACUGGGAAGCUGGAGUAGCGGAGAGGAAAGUGGAAUUCCUAGUGUAGCGGUGAAAUGCGUAGAGAUUAGGAAGACCACCGGUGGCGAAGGCGACUUUCUGGACGAAAACUGACGCUGAGGCGCGAAAGCGUGGGGAGCAAACAGG